rnacentral:lncRNA from 1 species
CAGUAAUUUACCUAAGCUGGUCGAGAGGAAUUGACCAAGACAUAUUAUUGCAUAACAUAAAAUAUAUUAAUUAAUUUGAUUUUUCGCUUUGACAGUACGUUUCAUAAAACCAUAUGAUCUUAAUUCUUAACCUAUAUAAUCGUAACUUCCAUCAUUUCUUUUUUUUUUUUUAUCCUACUUAUAUUCAAUUGUAUCUCUCCAAAUCAAUGCUACGAGC